UUUACUGCAAUAAAAGAAAGAGUUUGAUCAGAGACCUGCAGGUGGCUCCUGUGACCAAUCACUCCAACAAGAAAUGAAACAACAUAAAGACUUUCUUAGACUUCUUUUAAGACUGUGGGUUGAGCUUCCACAAGGACCAUGCAAAUGAAAACAACUUCUGUGUGGGUCCUGGCUUGGAUUCAGGCAACUGGACAAUGAAAGAGGAAACAGACUGCACAUCUUGACUUUCCUCCAGCACUCAGCCUGAAGCAGAUGACAUCAAUCACAGAAAAACUGAGCUACACAGAAGAAUUUGGGGCUGAAGGGAGUCUGUG